GGGUGAAGGGAUCUUAGCGGCGGGGACUCAGCUGAGCGGAUUGGUGAGUAAUGCCUAGGAAUCUGCCUGGUAGUGGGGGAUAACGUCCGGAAACGGGCGCUAAUACCGCAUACGUCCUGAGGGAGAAAGUGGGGGAUCUUCGGACCUCACGCUAUCAGAUGAGCCUAGGUCGGAUUAGCUAGUUGGUGGGGUAAAGGCCUACCAAGGCGACGAUCCGUAACUGGUCUGAGAGGAUGAUCAGUCACACUGGAACUGAGACACGGUCCAGACUCCUACGGGAGGCAGCAGUGGGGAAUAUUGGACAAUGGGCGAAAGCCUGAUCCAGCCAUGCCGCGUGUGUGAAGAAGGUCUUCGGAUUGUAAAGCACUUUAAGUUGGGAGGAAGGGCAGUAAGUUAAUACCUUGCUGUUUUGACGUUACCAACAGAAUAAGCACCGGCUAACUUCGUGCCAGCAGCCGCGGUAAUACGAAGGGUGCAAGCGUUAAUCGGAAUUACUGGGCGUAAAGCGCGCGUAGGUGGUUCAGCAAGUUGGAUGUGAUAUCCCCGGGCUCAACCUGUGAACUGCAUCCCACACUACUGAGCUAGAGUACGGUAGAGGGUGGUGGAAUUUCCUGUGUGACGGUGAAAUGCGUAGAUAUAGGAAGGAACACCAGUGGCGAAGGCGAUCUCCUGCACUGAUACUGACACUGAUGUGCGAAACCGUGGGGAGCAAACAGGAUGAGAUACCCUGGUAGUCCGCGGCUGUAUACGAUGUCGACUACCCUUUGGGAUCCUUGAGAUCAUAGUGCCGCACCUACGCGAUAAUUCGACCGCCUGGGGAGUGCAGCCGCCAGGUUAAAACUCAGAUGAAUUGAUGGGGCUCGCUCAAGCAGCUGCAGCAUGUGGUUUUAUUCGUAGUACGAUGAGAGCUUGACCUCGUCUUGACAUGCUGACUACUGUCAGAAAUGGAUUGGUGCUUCUGGACUGAGACGCAGUACUGCAAUGCUUGUAGUUACUGCUCGUCCUGCGAUGCUGGAUUAAGUGUCUAUCGACGACAUCUUGUCCUUACUACCAGGACGGCGGGUGG
rnacentral:rRNA from 1 species